ACAGUCAAAUCAUAAUGAAUACACUGGUUCUUGUUCGAUCACUGAAGUUAAGCAUCAUAGAGCCAGGUUAGUACUUAGAUGGGGGACCGCUUGGGAACACCUGGU
rnacentral:rRNA from 1 species